AGAGCGCCACACAAGGACCUGGCAAGGGUGCUCAGGUCACAAAGGCUGCCGGGGCAGCGUGAGAGCCAGAGUCCCAACCCAGCAAGUGCUAGGCUCGCUGUUGCCUCUAAUGCAUCAGUCCCCCGAGCCAAGGCGCGGUGGGAGACCAGGCGACAGCUCGAAAGCAGCAGAAAAACACUGGACACCCCUCGGAGGGCAGAAAGAUCGCACUAUUCUGCUCAGGCUGGCCUGGAACGCCUGGGCUCAGUCACCCGGCCUGACCUCCCACCUAACUAGGACAGCAGGCCCAUGCCUCAAGCACAAUACUCCAUACGACUGUUGUAAAAUCACGCUAAUUCUCUGAGACUUUCCCCUGUAUCCCUGACCAGCCCUGAAUUCACUGCAGUCUCCUGCUUCAGCCCUGGGUUGGUAACUGCACGUUCAGAUACUAUGCUGGGCUAACAAAUUCUUAACAAGAAGUUGGAAUACAAAAUAUUAAAUAAAUACUAAAAUAAAAAAUGAA